UACGGGGGGGGCAAGCGUUGUUCGGAAUUACUGGGCGUAAAGGGCUCGUAGGCGGCCAACUAAGUCGGACGUGAAAUCCCUCGGCUUAACCGGGGAACUGCGUCCGAUACUGGAUGGCUUGAGAUUGGGAGAGGGAUGCGGAAUUCCAGGUGUAGCGGUGAAAUGCGUAGAUAUCUGGAGGAACACCGGUGGCGAAGGCGGCAUCCUGGACCAACACUGACACUGAGGAGCGAAAGCCAGGGGAGCAAACGGG
rnacentral:rRNA from 1 species